rnacentral:sRNA from 1 species
AAGGGAAAAUAGGUGGAAAUUCAAAAAUCAAGUGAAAAAAGGUGGUGAGUCAAUUGUUUCGGGUAAGAGACUGCACCCGAGGGCGGAAGAUAGGAGUAUUUCUACUCCUAAUACUGCUCGGGGAAUUCCAUAGUUAGCUGACUUGACAAG